rnacentral:sRNA from 1 species
AAGCCAUUCCCCAGUUUUGCUUCCCUGAUGCCAAGGACUGGCUCCCUGUGUCAGAGUAUAGCAGUGAGACCUUUUCUUUCAUGCUGACUGGGGAAGAUGGCAGCAGACGCUUUGGCUACUGCAGGCGCUUACUGCCAAGUGGGAAAGGGCCCCGGUUGCCAGAGGUGUACUGUGUCAUCAGCCGCCUUGGCUGCUUCGGCUUGUUUUCCAAGGUCUUAGAUGAGGUGGAGCGCCGGCGUGGGAUCUCCGCUGCAUUGGUCUAUCCUUUCAUGAGAAGUCUCAUGGAGUCGCCCUUCCCAGCCCCAGGGAAGACCAUCAAAGUGAAGACAUUCCUGCCAGGUGCUGGCAAUGAGUUUUCAGAAGGCCUGCACAUCUAUGCUGCACACACAUGCUGUGGGACCAAGGAUGAGGCCAGGCAAACCCCAGGGACAGCUGCUUUGGCACGGCCUGAGCGUCAGCACUUCCUCCUGCCCUCACCGCUGGGGUCACUCACUACCUUUCACCCCUGUGACUCCCCCAGAGAAGUGGCUCUCUGAGCUAUGGCGCUCACCUUGGGAGCAGCCUUU